GUGUUAUAGUUUUGAAGCGCUAUCAAGGCGUUAUUGGGAGCGCGUUUAAUACCCCUUUGAGAAUUUAUAAAAAUCAAAAACUCGCAAAAAAAUGAGAACUAGAAUUGGAGUCAUAAUGAGUAAUUGAGUAAUAAUGGUGGCCACGACUGGACUUGAACCAGCGGCCACUACCA
rnacentral:antisense_RNA from 1 species